CAGGAAAGGGGAUAGCAUUUGAAAUGUAAAGUAAAAAAAAAAAAAGAAAUUUAAGAAAAAAAAAGAGCUACCUGGCUAGGUCACUUGGACAUUGGCAACCCCGCUGACAAGCUGAAAAGGGGAAGGGCACAAAAACUGGGUAGGACAUGUCCUUGUAGGCCUCUGCAUGUGCACCAGGCUCUCCUUCCUAUCCUUCCUGUAUGAGGUAGGAAAGUUCCCUGGUUGUUCUCUUUUAGUUUCCCGUUACUUUUGGGCUGAGGCCAAAGUCCCUGGACCCUGUUAUCAGCACCCAAGGAAAGAUGCCACAGGGUGAUCUUUCAGGACUUGAGAUAGCUGUUCUCAAGCACCUGUCCACUUGGUUUCGCAGUCAUUAUCAUGUGAGUCAGGGGACGAGCUAAGGCUCUAGGGUGGUGGUAAGCUGCAAGAGCCACUCUAAACCUAGAAUAGAGAACUCUCUGAAGUUAGCUCCAAUCCCCAUCCUUGGUUUUCCUGGACUCAGAGAGCAUUCAGAGCAAAAGCCCAAGAAGAAGGAAGACCAAAAUGUGGAUGUGUCAUUUCUUCUUAGAAGGGAGAACAAAAUACUCAUGGGAAGAAAUACAGGGACAAAGCAUGGAGCAUAGACUGAAGAAACAGUCAUCCAGAGACUGGUCCACCUCAGGAUCUAUUCCAUAAACAGCAACCAAACCCAGUCACUAUUGCUGAUGCCAAGAAAGUGCUUGCUGACAGGAGCCAGAUAAAGGGUGUCUCCUGAGAGGCUCUGCCAGAGCCCUACUAUACAGAUUAGGAUGGUUGGACUGAACAAGGGGACCCCAAUGGAGAGGAUAGAGAAAAGACUGGAAGAGCAGAAAAGGUUUGCAACACCAUAGGUAGAACAACAAUAUAAACCAAUCGAACCCCACUAGACCUCCCAGGCACUAAACCCCCAACCAAUGAGUACACAAGGAGGGACCCAUGACUCUAGUCACAUAUGUGGCAGAGGAUGGCACUGUCCAGCAUCAAUAGGAGGAAAAGCCUUUGGACCUGUGAAGAACUUAGAUUAUCAGCAAUGACCUCCGCCCUUACAAAAUAUUGGGAAUAAAAGUUGUUAGUGAAGCUAGGCUGAGAUGUUUUCUACUAUUGGCUACGAUGUAGAAAAUCUUAGGAAAUAAUUUGAAGUUCAGAAAGGCACACUCGUAUGGGUUAAGCUAGGAUCUUUAUGAUCAGGAAAUAAGUACAAUGGCACUACUAGCUGACAUGACUCUCACUCAGGCUGGACUGGUGAUAAUUGAUUUCUUACACCCAUUUUCCCCUCAGCAUCCUGAUAAGACUUACUACAAAUUUCUGAUAAGUCAAUAUGCAUUCUGAGGACUUAAGGAAGAUAUGACUGAUUUUUAUAUAAAAGUUUAGUGUGAUUCUUUUAAAAUUCUUACAAGAUUACUUUUAAGAAAAAUAAGAAAAUAAUUACUCAUUUCUUUGUAAUUGCUAAUUGCUGCCUGCCAGUAAGAGAAACUGGCUGAGAAAACUAUCUUGCUUGCUUACGUUUUGUUAAUCUAUGAUAAGUUGCUUUGUUAUGAAUGUUCAUGGGUUUUUGGUACUAAUUUUUGUUCUUUACCUGUACUUGUAAUGUUAUUUCUUAUAAGGUAUUGAAAAACACUUCACUAACCAUUCACUACAAUAAAACUAAAACACAAACACAUUGUAAUUUAAUACUGCAUGAAAGAUUUUGCUGGGAUAUAUAUUGGAUGAAAUGAAGAAUACAUUGUGGGGAUUGGAGCAUCCACCAACUAUGUGUCUCUGUUGAGGCUUAUGUGUGGUGGGCUGCAGCAUUAUUUCUUCUAACAUAAACUAUGGGGUAUGUGGGAAUAUGUGUAAGGGUUGUGUGUGUGAUGGUUAGAGCAUUGUUCUUUUAUCUAUCAAUUGUGUGUGCUUGUAUGCAUGCAUGUAUGCAUGUAUGUAUGUAUGCAUGUAUGUAUGUAUGCAUGUAUGUAUGUAUGUAUGUAUGUAUAUAUGUAUAUGUGCAGAGUUUGCAUGAAUGAGGGUUGGAGCUUCCACCCUCAUUCAUCACAUAUGUGUAUGUGUAAAGUUUGUGUCUACGGUAGUCUGGAACAUUGUUCCUUUCUCCCAUCAACAAUGUGUAUGUAUGUAGGUAUAUGUGUAAAGCUUGUUGCCUUUCUGGGUGUGUGUUGCUUUCUCAGGCCACCUAUUGUGUGUACUUAUGCAUCCAGGUAUGAAAUAUUUGAAGCGUGCUUGCUGGAGGUCUGCAUUAACUAAUCUAUGUGUGAAUGUACAUAGGUCUGUCUAUAGGUCUCUAUGCAUAUACGUCUGUGUGUUUGUAUGCAUAUAUUUGUGCAUAUGAAAUUAUUGGACUUUGUCUUUUGUUUCAUCCACUCAGUGCGUGUGUUUGUGCCUCUGUGUGUUCGUGUUUGUAUUUUUGUUUGUGUGUGUGUGUGUGUGUGUGUGUGUGUGUGUGUGUGUGUGUGUGUAGAGAGAGAGAGAGAGAGAGAGAGAGAGAGAGAGAGAGAAUUUUCUCUCUUUCCUUCUCUUUCUUGCUGGCCCCAAGGAGUUAGAAAAAGUUCAUAGUUUUUCCAGUACCCUCAGGGAGUUCCAGCCCCAGUAAUUUAAGCGUUGUUCCCACAUAAAAAGGUCUGCUGAGUAACUUCUCUGAUUUCUGGUUUCCUUUGGCAGCAGCAUCUUUAGGUAUCUGGAUACAACCAUCAGGAGCUCUAAGCACUGACCCUCAAUGGCUGCCUGCCUCAGUUUGCACACCAGAUGGAUGCCAAAGCUGGUCUCUGUCAGGAAAGUACACAGAUUUCCUAAUGGUGCUUUCAACAUUAGUUCCUAUUAGAGUAGGUAACUGAAGAGGUAUCAGAGAUAACUCUUAUGUUUCUUUAACAUGAUAGAUGUCCCUCAUAUGUUUCUAAAUUUAGAAAUAUCUUGACCAUUGUGCCAUGUAAAGUAUUGAUUAUCAUUCAUGUGCAUGUUUUAACUUUUGCGAUUUCUUUUUCUUUUCUUUCUUUCUUUUUUUUUUUUUUCCCGGAGCUGAGGAACGAACCCAGGGCCUUGCGCUUGCUAGGCAAGCACUCUACCACUGAGCUAAAUCCCCAACCCCACUUUUGAGAUUUAUUUAUUGACUUUUAAAGCUUCUAAUUUCAACACUAACUUCCAAAUGGCAACAGAAGAAAAGUAAAACAACAUUAGGGGCAGAAGAAUAAUUUGGAUCAUGUACGUUGGAAUAGAGGUACUGAACAGAACCACUCGAGUGGGAAGGGCCCAGGUCACCAUCAAGGAGACUAAAGCUGGGGUAGGAAGAGCAUGAGAAAGUCUCAGAGAUGCCUGAAGCCUUGGAGGAGCUGAAUGGUAGAGUUUCCUGUAUCUUCCAGAGGAGAAGAAAACACCAUCCAGAAUCCUUGUGACAAGCACUCGCUUGUGAUUGAGCAAGUGUCAUGUUGCCUGUCAUCUGAAAGGCAGCAGAGAAGCAUCAUCAUUGUGUCCCCACUCUAAAAACAAAAUGCAAGUCUCUGGGCAUGCUGGUGGCAUCUCACACUCCCCCUGACCUGCUGACUCAUCCUGCUGCAUAGGACAUCAUCUGCACUUGGAACUCCUCAGUCUCUACCAAUGGUUCUUCAAGUCUCAGGUCAUGUACAUUUUCAGAUCAUUGAGCUCCUCUGCAGGAUACUGGUGCUACUAAGGCUGGAUAUGGUAAGACAUGUGCACAUCCAGUGUAUCCUCAAAGGCUUCAGUCCUUCGUGAGUUUUAAGUUACCUUCAUGGUUCUCAUCUUUCCUGCUAUCCUCUAUGACCGGAGAUCUACUCAGACUGCCGUUCUAGCAGGUCCUCAAUGAGGUUCAGGCUCAAAAGGAGAACCAAGGAUAGUGACUGAUGGUGCUGCAGGAUAGCAAACAUCCAAUAGCCAGCAACAUAGAAAUUUCACAGGACUCUGUGGCUGUGUGGAUGACAGUGCACAUCCUUUAAAUCUAAUCUCCAGGUUUCAGUGACUUCUGUUUGCUACAGUGAAUGGUGUGAGCCUUGUCUAGUUUACUACCAGGCACAGAUGGAGUUCUUAGAAAACUCUCUUAGAAAACAUUUAGACAUGUGUAGAAAUCAGGAAGUAAAGACUGAGUGUUUUGAAAGACACAAGUCCUGCCAAUGGAACUAUGCAAGCCCAGUGUUAACGUCCUCCAUGACGUUCUUCUUUCCUUCAUGUUUAUCUUUCCCUUCCUUUGAAGAAUGACUUACAGCAAAUAACUUGCCUUCCAAAGCCUCUGACUCACAGAUCUAUAAAGAAAACUAUGAAUUUUAGAUUUCAAGUACUAAGUAUUAGUCAGAGGUCUUCAAAGAAAUAAAAGAAAUAGAACCAAUUGUAUAUGUCUCUCUCUGUAUAUGUGUUCUGUAUACACAGUCAUAUGAUGCACAAUGUUUUUGUCAAUACUGUAUUUCACACUCAAGCUACAAGACUGCCUAGGAACAGUUCUCUCAGUCUGUAUUCCAGCCCUUGACUUACAUGUGGCUCUCUAUGUGUGUCUACUUGUAA